AAUUAUUGUUUAAUUGUUGUUUUGAAGUUAUUGUAUCUGAAUCUUAUGAUAUUUAUGAAACGAAUGUUCUUUUCAAUAUAAAGCAAAAGGGUUACAAUUAAAAUUAUGUUGUUGUGUUUGGUCCAAAGCUGGGACAGUUUGUACGAUUAUGAUCAGGCUGACGAUAUGGACUACAUAAUCUCACCAUUUUGUUCGUCGUGUCCAUUUCGAUUUGAAUAGGGUGCAGUUUGGGCGAACAUUUUUCUUUUUU
rnacentral:lncRNA from 1 species